GUUAAGCGACUAAGCGUACACGGUGGAUGCCCUGGCAGUCAGAGGCGAUGAAGGACGUGCUAAUCUGCGAUAAGCGUCGGUGAGGUGAUAUGAACCGUUAUAACCGGCGAUUUCCGAAUGGGGAAACCCAGUGUGUUUCGACACACUAUCAUUAACUGAAUCCAUAGGUUAAUGAGGCGAACCGGGGGAACUGAAACAUCUAAGUACCCCGAGGAAAAGAAAUCAACCGAGAUUCCCCCAGUAGCGGCGAGCGAACGGGGAGGAGCCCAGAGCCUGAAUCAGUGUGUGUGUUAGUGGAAGCGUCUGGAAAGGCGCGCGAUACAGGGUGACAGCCCCGUACACAAAAAUGCACAUACUGUGAGCUCGAUGAGUAGGGCGGGACACGUGGUAUCCUGUCUGAAUAUGGGGGGACCAUCCUCCAAGGCUAAAUACUCCUGACUGACCGAUAGUGAACCAGUACCGUGAGGGAAAGGCGAAAAGAACCCCGGCGAGGGGAGUGAAAAAGAACCUGAAACCGUGUACGUACAAGCAGUGGGAGCCUCUUAAUGGGGUGACUGCGUACCUUUUGUAUAAUGGGUCAGCGACUUAUAUUCUGUAGCAAGGUUAACCGAAUAGGGGAGCCGAAGGGAAACCGAGUCUUAACUGGGCGCUAAGUUGCAGGGUAUAGACCCGAAACCCGGUGAUCUAGCCAUGGGCAGGUUGAAGGUUGGGUAACACUAACUGGAGGACCGAACCGACUAAUGUUGAAAAAUUAGCGGAUGACUUGUGGCUGGGGGUGAAAGGCCAAUCAAACCGGGAGAUAGCUGGUUCUCCCCGAAAGCUAUUUAGGUAGCGCCUCGUGAAUUCAUCUCCGGGGGUAGAGCACUGUUUCGGCAAGGGGGUCAUCCCGACUUACCAACCCGAUGCAAACUGCGAAUACCGGAGAAUGUUAUCACGGGAGACACACGGCGGGUGCUAACGUCCGUCGUGAAGAGGGAAACAACCCAGACCGCCAGCUAAGGUCCCAAAGUCAUGGUUAAGUGGGAAACGAUGUGGGAAGGCCCAGACAGCCAGGAUGUUGGCUUAGAAGCAGCCAUCAUUUAAAGAAAGCGUAAUAGCUCACUGGUCGAGUCGGCCUGCGCGGAAGAUGUAACGGGGCUAAACCAUGCACCGAAGCUGCGGCAGCGACACUAUGUGUUGUUGGGUAGGGGAGCGUUCUGUAAGCCUGUGAAGGUGGCCUGUGAGGGUUGCUGGAGGUAUCAGAAGUGCGAAUGCUGACAUAAGUAACGAUAAAGCGGGUGAAAAGCCCGCUCGCCGGAAGACCAAGGGUUCCUGUCCAACGUUAAUCGGGGCAGGGUGAGUCGACCCCUAAGGCGAGGCCGAAAGGCGUAGUCGAUGGGAAACAGGUUAAUAUUCCUGUACUUGGUGUUACUGCGAAGGGGGGACGGAGAAGGCUAUGUUGGCCGGGCGACGGUUGUCCCGGUUUAAGCGUGUAGGCUGGUUUUCCAGGCAAAUCCGGAAAACCAAGGCUGAGGCGUGAUGACGAGGCACUACGGUGCUGAAGCGACAAAUGCCCUGCUUCCAGGAAAAGCCUCUAAGCAUCAGGUAACAUCAAAUCGUACCCCAAACCGACACAGGUGGUCAGGUAGAGAAUACCAAGGCGCUUGAGAGAACUCGGGUGAAGGAACUAGGCAAAAUGGUGCCGUAACUUCGGGAGAAGGCACGCUGAUAUGUAGGUGAAGCGACUUGCUCGUGGAGCUGAAAUCAGUCGAAGAUACCAGCUGGCUGCAACUGUUUAUUAAAAACACAGCACUGUGCAAACACGAAAGUGGACGUAUACGGUGUGACGCCUGCCCGGUGCCGGAAGGUUAAUUGAUGGGGUUAGCGGUAACGCGAAGCUCUUGAUCGAAGCCCCGGUAAACGGCGGCCGUAACUAUAACGGUCCUAAGGUAGCGAAAUUCCUUGUCGGGUAAGUUCCGACCUGCACGAAUGGCGUAAUGAUGGCCAGGCUGUCUCCACCCGAGACUCAGUGAAAUUGAACUCGCUGUGAAGAUGCAGUGUACCCGCGGCAAGACGGAAAGACCCCGUGAACCUUUACUAUAGCUUGACACUGAACAUUGAGCCUUGAUGUGUAGGAUAGGUGGGAGGCUUUGAAGUGUGGACGCCAGUCUGCAUGGAGCCGACCUUGAAAUACCACCCUUUAAUGUUUGAUGUUCUAACGUUGGCCCCUAAUCGGGGUUGCGGACAGUGUCUGGUGGGUAGUUUGACUGGGGCGGUCUCCUCCUAAAGAGUAACGGAGGAGCACGAAGGUUGGCUAAUCCUGGUCGGACAUCAGGAGGUUAGUGCAAUGGCAUAAGCCAGCUUGACUGCGAGCGUGACGGCGCGAGCAGGUGCGAAAGCAGGUCAUAGUGAUCCGGUGGUUCUGAAUGGAAGGGCCAUCGCUCAACGGAUAAAAGGUACUCCGGGGAUAACAGGCUGAUACCGCCCAAGAGUUCAUAUCGACGGCGGUGUUUGGCACCUCGAUGUCGGCUCAUCACAUCCUGGGGCUGAAGUAGGUCCCAAGGGUAUGGCUGUUCGCCAUUUAAAGUGGUACGCGAGCUGGGUUUAGAACGUCGUGAGACAGUUCGGUCCCUAUCUGCCGUGGGCGCUGGAGAACUGAGGGGGGCUGCUCCUAGUACGAGAGGACCGGAGUGGACGCAUCACUGGUGUUCGGGUUGUCAUGCCAAUGGCACUGCCCGGUAGCUAAAUGCGGAAGAGAUAAGUGCUGAAAGCAUCUAAGCACGAAACUUGCCCCGAGAUGAGUUCUCCCUGAGACUUAGAGUCUCCUGAAGGAACGUUGAAGACGACGACGUUGAUAGGCCGGGUGUGUAAGCGCAGCGAUGCGUUGAGCUAACCGGUACUAAUGAACCGUGAGGCUUAACCUUACAACGCCGAAG
rnacentral:rRNA from 1 species